rnacentral:tRNA from 1 species
GGGUAUAGCUUAGUUGGUAGAGUGGCGGUCUCCAAAACCGCAGGUCGCGGGUUCAAGUCCUGCUGCCC